UACGUAGGGUGCGAGCGUUGUCCGGAAUUAUUGGGCGUAAAGAGCUCGUAGGCGGUUUGUCACGUCUGCUGUGAAAUCCCGAGGCUCAACCUCGGGCCUGCAGUGGGUACGGGCAGACUGGAGUGCGGUAGGGGGAGAAUGGAAUUCCUGGUGUAGCGGUGAAAUGCGCAGAUAUCAGGAGGAACACCGGUGGCGAAGGCGGUUCUCUGGGCCUUACCUGACACUGAGGAGCGAAAGCGUGGGGAGCGAACAGG
rnacentral:rRNA from 1 species